GCGACACUAGCUCAGUUGGUAGAGCGAACCUUGCCAAGGUUGAGGUCACGAGUUCGAACCUCGUGUGUCGCUCCA
rnacentral:tRNA from 1 species